rnacentral:rRNA from 1 species
GAUGAACGCUAGCUACAGGCUUAACACAUGCAAGUCGAGGGGGAACGGCAUUUAGUGCUUGCACUGAAUGGACGUCGACCGGCGCACGGGUGAGUAACGCGUAUCCAACCUUCCCAUUACUGUGGGAUAACCUGCCGAAAGGCAGACUAAUACCGCAUAGUCUUCGAUGACGGCAUCAGAUUUGAAGUAAAGAUUUAUCGGUAAUGGAUGGGGAUGCGUCUGAUUAGCUUGUUGGCGGGGUAACGGCCCACCAAGGCAACGAUCAGUAGGGGUUCUGAGAGGAAGGUCCCCCACAUUGGAACUGAGACACGGUCCAAACUCCUACGGGAGGCAGCAGUGAGGAAUAUUGGUCAAUGGACGAGAGUCUGAACCAGCCAAGUAGCGUGCAGGAUGACGGCCCUAUGGGUUGUAAACUGCUUUUGUAUGGGGAUAAAGUCAAUCACGUGUGAUUGUUUGCAGGUACCAUACGAAUAAGGACCGGCUAAUUCCGUGCCAGCAGCCGCGGUAAUACGGAAGGUCCGGGCGUUAUCCGGAUUUAUUGGGUUUAAAGGGAGCGUAGGCCGGAGAUUAAGUGUGUUGUGAAAUGUAGACGCUCAACGUCUGACUUGCAGCGCAUACUGGUUUCCUUGAGUACGCACAACGUUGGCGGAAUUCGUCGUGUAGCGGUGAAAUGCUUAGAUAUGACGAAGAACUCCGAUUGCGAAGGCAGCUGACGGGAGCGCAACUGACGCUUAAAGCUCGAAGGUGCGGGUAUCGAACAGG